UACAGAGGAUGCAAGCGUUAUCCGGAAUGAUUGGGCGUAAAGCGUCUGUAGGUGGCUUUUUAAGUCCGCCGUCAAAUCCCAGGGCUCAACCCUGGACAGGCGGUGGAAACUACCAAGCUGGAGUACGGUAGGGGCAGAGGGAAUUCCUGGUGUAGCGGUGAAAUGCGCAGAUAUCAGGAGGAACACCGAUGGCGAAGGCAGGUCUCUGGGCCACUACUGACGCUGAGAAGCGAAAGCAUGGGGAGCGAACAGG
rnacentral:rRNA from 1 species